AAUAAUGGGGUCACAUCUCGGCAGCAACCUGCCCUCAGGUAGCAUUUUCAAGUCAUGGCGAAGCUGGAGGAAGAGGAAGACAGAGCUCUUACCAGGGGGAGGCAGAGAUGGCACAGCAAGAGACAUGCCCCAGAA
rnacentral:lncRNA from 1 species